AACGAACGCUGGCGGCAUGCCUAACACAUGCAAGUCGAACGAGACCUUCGGGUCUAGUGGCGCACGGGUGCGUAACGCGUGGGAACCUGCCCUUAGGUUCGGAAUAACUCCCCGAAAGGGGUGCUAAUACCGGAUAAUGUCUUCGGACCAAAGAUUUAUCGCCUUUGGAUGGGCCCGCGUUGGAUUAGCUAGUUGGUAGGGUAAAAGCCUACCAAGGCGACGAUCCAUAGCUGGUCUGAGAGGAUGAUCACCCACACUGGGACUGAGACACGGCCCAGACUCCUACGGGAGGCAGCAGUGGGGAAUAUUGGACAAUGGGCGAAAGCCUGAUCCAGCAAUGCCGCGUGAGUGAUGAAGGCCUUAGGGUUGUAAAGCUCUUUUACCCGGGAUGAUAAUGACAGUACCGGGAGAAUAAGCUCCGGCUAACUCCGUG
rnacentral:rRNA from 1 species